UACGUAGGGUGCAAGCGUUGUCCGGAUUUAUUGGGCGAAAGAGCUCGUAGGCGGUCUGUCGCGUCGGAUGUGAAAACCCAGGGCUCAACCCUGGGCCUGCAUUCGAUACGGGCAGACUAGAGUACGGCAGGGGAGACUGGAAUUCCUGGUGUAGCGGUGAAAUGCGCAGAUAUCAGGAGGAACACCGGUGGCGAAGGCGGGUCUCUGGGCCGUAACUGACGCUGAGGAGCGAAAGCGUGGGGAGCGAACAGG
rnacentral:rRNA from 1 species